rnacentral:rRNA from 1 species
AGAGUUUGAUCCUGGCUCAGGACCAACGCUGGUGGCGUGCUUAACACAUGCAAGUCGAACGGAAAGGCCCCGCUCGCGGGGUACUCGAGUGGCGCACGGGUGAGUUACACGUGGGUGAUCUGCCCUGCACUUCGGGAUAAGCCUGGGAAACUGGGUCUAAUACCGGAUAUGACCUCCCUUUAGUGUGGGGGGUGGAAAGAUUUAUCGGUGCAGGAUGAGCCCGCGGCCUAUCAGCUUGUUGGUGGGGUAAUGGCCUACCAAGGCGUCGACGGGUAGCCGGCCUGAGAGGGUGGACGGCCACAUUGGACUGAGAUACGGCCCAGACUCCUACGGGAGGCAGCAGUGGGGAAUAUUGCACAAUGGGCGGAAGCCUGAUGCAGCGACGCCGCGUGGGGGAUGACGGCCUUCGGGUUGUAAACCUCUUUCGACAGGGACGAAGUGAAAAUGACGGUACCUGUAUAAGAAGCACCGGCUAACUACGUGCCAGCAGCCGCGGUAAUACGUAGGGUGCGAGCGUUGUCCGGAAUUACUGGGCGUAAAGAGCUCGUAGGUGGUUUGUCACGUCGUCUGUGAAAUUCCGGGGCUUAACCUCGGGCGUGCAGGCGAUACGGGCAAUACUUGAGUGCUGUAGGGGAGACUGGAAUUCCUGGUGUAGCGGUGAAAUGCGCAGAUAUCAGGAGGAACACCAAUGGCGAAGGCAGGUCUCUGGGCAGUUACUGACGCUGAGGAGCGAAAGCAUGGGUAGCGAACAGGAUUAGAUACCCUGGUAGUCCAUGCCGUAAACGGUGGGCGCUAGGUGUAGGGGACUUCCACGUUCUCUGUGCCGUAGCUAACGCAUUAAGCGCCCCGCCUGGGGAGUACGGCCGCAAGGCUAAAACUCAAAGGAAUUGACGGGGGCCCGCACAAGCGGCGGAGCAUGUGGAUUAAUUCGAUGCAACGCGAAGAACCUUACCUGGGCUUGACAUACACCGGACCGGCGUAGAGAUACGUCUUCCCUUGUGGCCGGCGUACAGGUGGUGCAUGGUUGUCGUCAGCUCGUGUCGUGAGAUGUUGGGUUAAGUCCCGCAACGAGCGCAACCCUUGUCUUAUGUUGCCAGCACGUGAUGGUGGGGACUCAUGAGAGACUGCCGGGGUCAACUCGGAGGAAGGUGGGGAUGACGUCAAAUCAUCAUGCCCCUUAUGUCCAGGGCUUCACACAUGCUACAAUGGUCGGAACAGCAGGUCGCGAACUCGUGAGAGUAAGCCAAUCCUUCAAAGCCGGCCUCAGUUCGGAUUGGGGUCUGCAACUCGACCCCAUGAAGUCGGAGUCGCUAGUAAUCGCAGAUCAACAACGCUGCGGUGAAUACGUUCCCGGGCCUUGUACACACCGCCCGUC